GGCUUGUUUGGUACCCAAGAAUGACUCGCCUGCAUUUCUCCCUUAAGACUUAUGGUCCCAUCUGCCACAGAUAUUAAUCGGGAAAAAAAUGUGGCAAGUGCAUAUAAUUCCGUGAGUUUUGCAGGCAUUCAUCUUGGCUAACUCCACAGGCUCC
rnacentral:miRNA from 1 species